GGUGCAACACAAAAAAACAAAAAAGGAUCCAGUCAAAAUUCCAGUGACUGCUGCACACACGUUCACUGGAAGACAUGCCUUUCAUCAGACGAUGGUGGUGUACUCUGCUGAUGACUAACUUCGCUGUGCAAAUGCCAAGAUGCAAGUUAUCUGAAGGAGAGGAUGGAAGUGAUGAGCCUCCUUAUAAGAAACAGCACCUCCAGGAACAAUCAGAUUGCACAGGUAUACACUGAUUUUUUUUUUUUUGUAUUAUUUUGAACAGUGUGAUAGAUUACAACCAAUCCAUUUUCUCAGAUAAGGUGAUGUACAAAUUUGCUUCAUACUCAUGCAGACAAUGUUUUGUUAGGUACACCUAACUAACUGAUUAACAACAGACUGCAUGGGUGUUGCUAUUGAGUAAAUGCUAAACCAGAUACCCACAGAAAAAGAUUUGAGUAUAAGGUGUUCUGCUCUAAUUAUGUUCUACGGUGUAAAGAAAUAAUUCAUAUGGAACCAAGGAAUAGGAUAAUGUGAGUAAUAUAAUGU